AGUGGCUCAUGCCUGUAGUCCCAGCACUUUGGGAGGAUCGCUUGAGCCCAGGAGUUCAAGACUAGUCUGGAUAACAUAGUAAGACUUUGCCUCUA